GACGAACGCUGGCGGCGUGCCUAAUACAUGCAAGUAGAACGCUGAAGAGAGGAGCUUCCUCUUCUUGGAUGAGCUGCGAACGGGUGAGUAACGCGUAGGUAACCUGCCUUGUAGCGGGGGAUAACUAUUGGAAACGAUAGCUAAUACCGCAUAACAAUGGAUGACACAUGUCAUUUAUUUGAAAGGGGCAAUUGCUCCACUACAAGAUGGACCUGCGUUGUAUUAGCUAGUAGGUGAGGUAAUGGCUCACCUAGGCGACGAUACAUAGCCGACCUGAGAGGGUGAUCGGCCACACUGGGACUGAGACACGGCCCAGACUCCUACGGGAGGCAGCAGUAGGGAAUCUUCGGCAAUGGGGGCAACCCUGACCGAGCAACGCCGCGUGAGUGAAGAAGGUUUUCGGAUCGUAAAGCUCUGUUGUAAGUCAAGAACGGGUGUGAGAGUGGAAAGUUCACACUGUGACGGUAGCUUACCAGAAAGGGACGGCUAACUACGUG
rnacentral:rRNA from 1 species